GUCUUCAGACCCAGGUGCUGCAUGAUGGAUCCAGUCAAUCAACUCCUUUCUUCAUCCCUAAGCACAACCUGGAGGUGCUGAGAAGGGUGAAGUGGGCAGCGAGAGACUACUGAAGGUUUUAUUCCACCGUAGAGAAAAUUCUGAUAAAGAAUUUUGUGUUGGCUGUAUGGCAGCACCUGGAAGGCCAAACCAUAUUUUCUGUGUACUGAGUAUUUGUGAAGACUCAGAUCAAGAAACUGAACCACACAGACAUUCUUACCCAAAAGCUGGUCUCUGGGGUUGGAGAACAGGAGCUGUGUAGAGGGACUGCAGUGGAGUUACAAUGAUCCCUCUUGGAAACACAGAAGAAGGAGAGACUGGAAAGUAUUCCUGCUUCAAAUGAAGUCCAUACCCACACCAGAAAUCUUGUAGCAGACACUUCACAUCCUGCUGAGGAGAUACCAAUGGCUUCAAGUUUGCAUCAGUGAAGAACUCCACUGAUGAGACCUCUUCUAUUAAACCUAUAUUUAGUGUAGAAAAGUGAAAUUCCCACAGUUCCCGGUCCCUCAUACAAGAAGGACAUCAAGGGACUGGAGUGUGUCCAGAGAAGGGCAACAGAGCUGGGGAAGGGUCUGGAGCACAGGUGUG